UCCAUUAUCAAGGGAGACGCAGACCAUUGAUAAUACAUGCUCUUCUGAGACACAAACACCUCGGGAGCCAACGACAAGAACAAUUGCUACACAGACGAAGCGGUGUAUUCAAACCGUCCCCAAGAAGGCCAUUAAAAGAACCGUGAAAGCCUCACAGGAGCCAACAACAUCAUAUGCUACACAGACGAAGCAGUUGAUUCAAACCGUCCCCAAGAAGGCCAUUAAAAGAUCUGUGAAAGCCUCCAUUACCCAAGUCCACACAGGCAGCAGCAGCAGCAGCAGCAGCAGCAGCAGCAGCAGCAGCUGUAACGUCAACAAUACACCCUACGACUACUGCGCCGAUGACAUUGAGAUAAAUUCAGGUUUUGACGCAACGUCCCCACAGAGGGUGAUACAACCUAUGGUUCAUACAUCAACAGAUCUAUGUUUAGAGGCCUGUGAUAUACCAUCCGAAGUGUUAGAGCUUUUGGCCAGCUUCUGUCCAGAGCCACUGGUUGAUGGGAGGGGUGUUGUCGAUAAUCAGCAUACAGAAUUGAGAGGUUUGCUUGGGGACAUACAGGUGUGCAUUAGUACGCUAGACACAUCACACAUUGACUUGGUAGCCGACCUAUCUGACCGUUACAUGUCUGCGGAUAAAACGGCGGCCGUCUUUAACACUACACUUUUAGAGGCCAUCAAUGCACUCGGUGUUGGUCUGUCGGCCGACAUACACAGGGAGUUUAGUGUGCUAAACACAUCACUCAAUACCUUAGGCUCCACCCUAUCUGCCCGUUACAGGGCUGAGGAUCAAGCAUCGGCCAUCGUGAGCACUACGCUUUUAGAGGCUAUCAGUGCCCUUGGGGUUGGUCUGUCUGACUACUACCGUGUCGAGAAUAAAACCAUUAUUGAUGCGGUAAAUACCCUCGGUGUAACUCUCGUCAGAAUUGCGCAACAGGUAGUCCUCAGAAGCAAUGCCAACAACACAAUCACUCGUGCUCUAAUAACCACAAUACACAAUCAUGUUUGAACAGAUGUAGACUGCGGCAGUGUUAUACCAGCCACCUCCACAGGGGGGAGCCACAGUUGUUGUUUGUUUUUGUUGCCUCCAUUUAAAAAAAAAAUUUAAUACGCUAUUACGAUCUAAUGUAGUUUUUUCUUUGUUUCAACUGUGUUGCUUGUUCACAUAAUGUCGCCACCACGUAAGGUCUAUCGUUAUAGCCCUCAGGACCUUACUGUUGAUAGGUUAACAGAUACACCUGAUGAUGAUGAUGAGCUGGCGUGCCCUAUACACACACAAAUAAAUCCUUUGUCAGCUCUUGAGAUUGAAUGGAAUGAAUGGUUAGCACGA